AGUGGGGAAUUUUGGACAAUGGGCGCAAGCCUGAUCCAGCAAUGCCGCGUGAGUGAAGAAGGCCUUCGGGUUGUAAAGCUCUUUUGUCAGGGAAGAAACGGCUGAGGAUAAUACCUUCGGCUAAUGACGGUACCUGAAGAAUAAGCACCGGCUAACUACGUGCCAGCAGCCGCGGUAAUACGUAGGGUGCAAGCGUUAAUCGGAAUUACUGGGCGUAAAGCGUGCGCAGGCGGUUUUGUAAGUCUGACGUGAAAGCCCCGGGCUCAACCUGGGAAUUGCGUUGGAGACUGCAAGGCUUGAAUCUGGCAGAGGGGGGUAGAAUUCCACGUGUAGCAGUGAAAUGCGUAGAGAUGUGGAGGAACACCGAUGGCGAAGGCAGCCCCCUGGGUCAAGAUUGACGCUCAUGCACGAAAGCGUGGGGAGCAAA
rnacentral:rRNA from 1 species